rnacentral:rRNA from 1 species
AUUGAACGCUGGCGGCAGGCCUAACACAUGCAAGUCGAGCGGGCGUCGGACGGGUGAGUAAUGUAUGGGGUCUGCCCCUUCCAGGGGGAUAACUAUUGUAAUUGGUGGCUUAUACCGCAUCCUGUCGGCUAUGCCAUAUGGGAUUGGCUUGUAGGUAGGUUAAUGGCUUACCUAGGCGACGAUCCCUUGCUGGUCUGAGAGGAUGAGCGGCAACACUGGGACUGAGACAGGGCCCAGACUCCUACGGAGGCAGCAGUGGGGAAUAGUGCACAAUGGGCGCAAGCCUGAUGCAGCCAUGCCGCGUGUAUGAAGAAGGCCCUAGGGUUGUAAAGUACUUUCAGUCGGGAGGCGUUACCGACAGAAGAAGCACCGGCUAACUCCGUGCCAGCAGCCGCGGUAAUAC